ensembl:lncRNA
GUUCUUUUCCCUUUUACUGUUUCUUGUUUGCUUUUACUUCUUAUUAUUUUACUGUAAAAUGUACUGUAAAAUGUACUGUAAAAUUUGUUUUGAUACGAUUUGAGGCGGAGGAAGAGGAGCCUUCCCAGCCCUUCACCCAACUCCAGCUCCAGGAGGCCAAGCGGCUGGUCCUCAGCCUGAUGAGGGAAUCCAAACUGGGGCUGGUCGCUGUCACCAAGGCGCUCCUGAAAAACAGUGGAGAUGUCUCCGCUGCCCUGAGAGACCCACUGAUGAUGCCUAACGUAGGGAACGGGGUUCAGCAGGGCCCUCAAUGGGAACGUCAUGACGACCGCCUGCUGCUGUCAGCUGAUCCUUCGGAACUCCAGAACAAGUUUGGGGAAGAGGGAGUGGCCAAGAGGAUGGCUUUCCUCUAUGCAGAGUGACACUGGGGGGGGUUCAAUAGUAUGCAACAUGGUGCGACCUUUAGUUCUGAACAACACGUUUCCACCCCCACCCCCCAAAAAAAAAAGGAUACCCACCAUUCUUCAGCAUUCUUUGAGGUAUGAUUGCUCCUGUUUGGUCCGUGUGGCCUGAUCAAUAUGGGUCCGACAUUACAAUUUUAAAUCGCAAAAUUUCAUGCAGCCAGCACACCAUAAACAAUCAUACCUCUGGGCUAACAAUAAUUACAAUGUUGUUUCCUACUGAACGCGUUCCUGUGUUGUAUUAACUAAAUGGAUAAAAACAGGAAGGACUACCUUAGCCCUUGAUCAUGACUGGCAGUUAUAUUCUAUUAUAAAAUAAGAGUCCUUGGACGAAGGUGCAUUCUGUACGGGAGAGUUUUGUCAAAGAGUUCCGACGCUCGGUCUGAACAUUUAACGAGCAUCGUUUCGCGGUACGGUUUGGGAAGCAUAAGGACUUUAUCUUUCAUUUAAGCAAGAAGGCUAAAUUCAUACAUACCUUUUAUAGGGUUCAUACACGGCCGUAUCUCCAUUUAAGCACUAGUUUAGGGAAAACAUACGGAAGACAGAGUGGACUACCUGUGCUAGUUAGUUAUCAGCGUCUCCGAACAUCUGUGUGUAAAUGGAAGAUGACAAACGUGUUGUCACUGAAAAAUACUGUCGUCUGCAACUGUGUUGAAACCGGUUAAAACGGAGUACAGUGUUUAUUUUGUGUAUUUUGCAUUUGGGAAAUUAAUUUGAUGUGAUAUGUAAAGUAGAGAACUUUUAUUUUUCUAUAACCGUACUGCAAUUGAGAAUCGAUUCAUGUUUAGUUGGGAGUAUUUGGCCAUUUUCCAGAGCCACUUCGUCUUUAAAUAGAACAUGUUAGGUACUUGGACUAAGGAGUAACAUUGGGCUCAUUAUAGUCAGUCCAUUAUUGGGCUAUGAAAUGCCAUGUCCCAUGUAAAGAUGGCACAUUUUAACUUGUAAUAUUUUAACUUUUGUAAUGUGUCUGUUUGGAAUUCAAAAUGUGCUAUUUUUAUAUUUUUCAAUAGUAAACAUGCUACAUAUGUGAAAUAUACUGUAUGCAUAUGACGAUUUGUGACAAUUUGCCAUUGUAAUAAAAUAACUGAUGUAAUUCGC